CCUACGGGCGGCAGCAGUGAGGAAUAUUGCGCAAUGGGCGCAAGCCUGAACCAGCCAAGUCGCGUGAGGGAUGACGGUCCUAGGGAUUGUAAACCUCUUUUGUCGGGGAGCAAGGCCCGCCACGUGUGGCGGGGAGGAGAGUACCCGAAGAAAAAGCAUCGGCUAACUCCGUGCAGGCAGCCGCGGUAGUACGGAGGAUGCGAGCGUUAUCCGGAGUUAUUGGGUUUAAAGGAUGCGUAGGCGGAAGGUUAAGUCAGCGGUAAAAUGUCGGGGCUAAACACCGGACUGCCGUUGAAACUGGUCUGCUUGAGUGAGAGAGAAGUAUGUGGAAUGCGUGGUGUAGCGGUGAAAUGCAUAGAGAUCACGCAGAACUCCGAUUGCGAAGGCAGCAUACCGGCGCUCAACUGACGCUGAGGCACGAAAGCGUGGGGAUCGAACAGGAUUAGAUACCCGAGUAGUC
rnacentral:rRNA from 1 species